rnacentral:pre_miRNA from 1 species
CCGAGUUUGAUCGAUUUCGAGUUUUUAACCCGAUUUCACACGUACUCGUAAAAUCGUACGAUUUUACGAGUUAACUCGUAAUUUGACAACAUUGG